CCGGGAAAUGGGCGUGGUCUGGGCGGGGCUUGCGGAGCUCCGCCAUUGUUGCCGGCGUCUCUCUUUAUUUUUAUAAUUACUGUGUUUUUAUUCUAUUCCCCACGCAGUUUCCUCGGCAGCAGCUUUUACUCGCUCUCCAGACCCACCUCCUCUCUCCCACUGCAAUUUCCCUGAGUUUUUCCCUAGGUUUUCCUCAGGUAAUCCAUCUCUUUUCCUCUUUUCAGGUCACGCCUCUGCAGGGCCUGGGAUGAGGAGUCCAGCAGAGAAACACAGCGAGGGCUUUGCUCAAAUCAUCGUUCCUGCUCAUCUCUCAUCCCAAAUUCCUGCAUCCAUGGGGAUUUCCUGCAUGCACAGCGCUGGGAAUGCUUUCAGCUCAAAAGGUCCAGGUCUUUCCUGUGUUUGGGGAUCCAGAAUAUUCCAUAUAUUUGAGGUACUUUUUUAUCCAUCUGGGACAGAUGCAGGAUAUUGAUAUGGAAAGAUGGUGGAGGAAAAAAAUCCAUAAUUGCUCAAUGAGGAAAUCCUGGCCAGAGCUUUUAUUCCUUCUAGAAUCAUCUUUAUCCAUUAGAAUAAAAUGGUUUGGGGCUCAGCUGGGGGAAAUACUUGGUCUAAGGUAAAAAUCAGCUUCAGCAGGGGGGAAAGUUGCAUGUAAUUAUCAUUUCACAAUAAAAAAAUAUUUUAAAUUA